GCCAGCAUGGGAUGAAACACAGAAAACAGAGCCCGGCUAUGUUCCCUCCUUUGUGCAGCAGAAAUGGCUGGCAGGAUGCCACCCACUCAACUGUGAACCACCAGGAUUUAGAACAAGCAAUAAUCUCCUAGUCUCUCAAAUCUCCUGCCUUGUGUUGUAUGAAGAAGUCUCAGAAAAUGUACUGUCAGCGGCCACGAUGGAGAGCUAAGUGGAUUUAUUGCUUUUUAAAAUGAGACUAAAACUCAGAUUAUAAUAAUUUAAAUAACCUUCUGUUUCCAUAACGCUUAAUUGUGGAAGUAUCAAAGAUUACCGAACGUCCUUUGUGAAUCCUUGCAAUAUUUUCCCGAGGCAGAUGGAGAAUAAACACCUUCAUUACAAGUGCUCAGAGGAUCCACUGUGCUGAACUACACUGAGAAGCACCUGGAGGGAUACAAACAUAUGGCGGUAAAGAGGGACAUCGGUUAUUCAAGAAUACAAGGAUUAUGAAGAACCAGGGUCUGCUGACCAUGAAAUUUUUAUCUCUAUAGAUUUUUCUAUUCUGGACACUUCACAGGAAUAUGAGUAUGCAACAGGUGACCUUUUGUGACUGGUUUCUUUCAUUCAACUGAUGUUUUCA